GACGAACGCUGGCGGCGUGCUUAACACAUGCAAGUCGAACGGAAAGGCCCUGCUUUUGUGGGGUGCUCGAGUGGCGAACGGGUGAGUAACACGUGAGUAACCUGCCCUUGACUUUGGGAUAACUUCAGGAAACUGGGGCUAAUACCGGAUAGGAGCUCCUGCUGCAUGGUGGGGGUUGGAAAGUUUCCGCGGUUGGGGAUGGACUCGCGGCUUAUCAGCCUGUUGGUGGGGUAGUGGCUUACCAAGGCUUUGACGGGUAGCCGGCCUGAGAGGGUGACCGGCCACAUUGGGACUGAGAUACGGCCCAGACUCCUACGGGAGGCAGCAGUGGGGAAUAUUGCACAAUGGGCGGAAGCCUGAUGCAGCAACGCCGCGUGCGGGAUGACGGCCUUCGGGUUGUAAACCGCUUUCGCCUGUGACGAAGCGUGAGUGACGGUAAUGGGUAAAGAAGCACCGGCUAACUACGUG
rnacentral:rRNA from 1 species